rnacentral:rRNA from 1 species
ACGUAUGUCCCGAGCGUUAUCCGGAUUUAUUGGGCGUAAAGCGAGCGCAGACGGUUGUUUAAGUCUGAUGUGAAAGCCCGGAGCUCAACUCCGGAAAGGCAUUGGAAACUGGACAACUUGAGUGCAGUAGAGGUAAGUGGAACUCCAUGUGUAGCGGUGGAAUGCGUAGAUAUAUGGAAGAACACCAGCGGCGAAGGCGGCUUACUGGACUGUAACUGACGUUGAGGCUCGAAAGUGUGGGUAGCAAACAGG